rnacentral:lncRNA from 1 species
CGCCGAUAGCAUGGAUAGGCUCAGAGGGGCGCAGGGUUUUGGCGGCUUCCCGAGUUCCCCUCGCCGACCGCCAUGUCACAUCUUACGGAAGAGGCGGGGGCUGCCGCGGAGAGGAUAUUUUUUGUUUUGUUUUGUUUUCACAAGAAUCACCUGGAUGCUUCUAAAGAGGAUGUCUACCAGACCCCAUGCCGCACUAAUUAGCUCAGAAGUGGGAACCCUUCUGUGGAAUGCAUCAGUUAAAAUCUCAAGAAACCCCGAGGCAGAGGAUUAAGAGAUACUGAAGAGAAGAUGAGUCUGUGUGCAUUUAUCUGUGCUUAGCCUGCUCCGAAUGGGAACUCAGCUCUCAAAUGAAGACAAGACUGCUCACUCCUGCAGAAAAUGACCUUGUUCUUGAGAGCUGCUGCUAAUUUACAGUGAGGCACUAGGUUUCUACCCAGUGCCACGUGAGCAACCAAUCCAUCUACCCAGGGGCACGGCACUGACGAGCAGCAUCAUUUAGAAGGAAAGAAGUAUGGGUGGUGUUUGUUGUUUCCUGUGUGUUAAGGAAAAUCCAGUGAGAACCCAGCAUCCCUGGAUGUUAAGGACAGGGGUGGCAUCUCUCAUUUGCCAUAGCAGUUCUGCAGUAGAGAAGUCCCCGCCAUCUGCAUCAGUUGCGGUGAUGCUGGAAGAGGAGGCUCCAUUCCCUGGACCAUUUUCUGACCCUUCUCUAGGCUCCAAUUCUAUAAGCGCCCAAUCCCCUCUGCCUAAGACAGCUGCAGGUGACAGGUCAGAUGGUGCAGCUACAGAGGUGCGUGCUGUCAAGGCUGAUGCCUUGGGCUGGAUCCCUGGGACCCACAGUGGAAGGAGAGAACUAGCUCCUCACGAGCUCUGUCCUCAUGUGCUGUGUGUGGCAGUAGGCGCACACACCUCAUGUGCUGUGUGUGGCAGUAGGCGCACACACCUCAUGUGCUGUGUGUGGCAGCAGGCGCACACACCCAGAGAGGAGUGAGUGAAAAAUGAGAAGGCACUACGGCUGGAAAGACGUCACUCCUAUAACAUACUUCUCCCAUGGAAAUUAAAACUAGACCUAUAAUGUUUUGUUUCUUUUUAAAAAUUGGAGGUGAAUAUGUAAAUGUGUUAAAGUCAGGAGAGUGAGACCAUGGUUGUCAUUUAUUUUAUAUUUUCAAUAGUUUCAAAUUGUAAAAUUUUAAUGUUAUGAUAUAAGUCUGUGAAUGUCUAAUUUUAAUAGGCUUUUACUUAUGUAUUUACCCCAAAGUAAUUUAAGUCUUAAAAUCUUAUGUAA